rnacentral:rRNA from 1 species
AGCGAACGCUGGCGGCAGGCUUAACACAUGCAAGUCGAGCGGGCACUUUCGGGUGUCAGCGGCGGACGGGUGAGUAACGCGUGGGAACGUGCCCUCUGGUUCGGAAUAACUCAGGGAAACUUGAGCUAAUACCGGAUACGCCCUUUUGGGGAAAGGCUUGCUGCCGGAGGAUCGGCCCGCGUCUGAUUAGCUAGUUGGUGAGGUAACGGCUCACCAAGGCGACGAUCAGUAGCUGGUCUGAGAGGAUGAUCAGCCACACUGGGACUGAGACACGGCCCAGACUCCUACGGGAGGCAGCAGUGGGGAAUAUUGGACAAUGGGCGCAAGCCUGAUCCAGCCAUGCCGCGUGAGUGAUGAAGGCCUUAGGGUUGUAAAGCUCUUUUAUCCGGGACGAUAAUGACGGUACCGGAGGAAUAAGCCCCGGCCAACUUCGUG